rnacentral:rRNA from 1 species
GUAGGUGGCAAGCGUUGUCCGGGAAUCAUUGGGCGUAAAGCGCGCGCAGGUGGUUCUUUAAGUCUGAUGUGAAAGCCCCCGGGCUCAACCGGGGAGGGUCAUUGGAAACUGGGGAACUUGAGUGCAGGAGAGGAAAGUGGAAUUCCACGUGUAGCGGUGAAAUGCGUAGAUAUGUGGAGGAACACCAGUGGCGAAGGCGACUUUCUGGCCUGUAACUGACACUGAGGCGCGAAAGCGUGGGGAGCAAACAGGAUUAGAUACCCUGGUAGUCCACGCCGUAAACGAUGAGUGCUAAGUGUUGGGGGGUUUCCGCCCCUCAGUGCUGCAGCUAACGCAUUAAGCACUCCGCCUGGGGAGUACGGUCGCAAAGACUG